AGCGAACGCUGGCGGCGUGCUUAACACAUGCAAGUCGAGUGCGCGGCUCGUAGCAAUACGAGCUGGCGCACGGCGCACGGGUGCGUAACACGUGGGCAACAUGCCCUCCGAUGGGGAAUAACCCGCCGAAAGGCGGGCUAAUACCGCAUACCAGUUCCGGGAACCUCGGUUCCUGGCCUGAAAGCCCGCAAGGGCGUCGGUGGAGUGGCCCGCGGCCGAUUAGCUUGGUUGGNGAGGUAACGGCUCACCAAGGCAAUGAUCGGUAGCCGGUCUGAGAGGAUGAUCGGCCACACUGGAACCUGAGACACGGUCCAGACUCCUACGGGAGGC
rnacentral:rRNA from 1 species